rnacentral:tRNA from 1 species
GGGCUUGUGGUACAGUGGUAGCACGUUCGCUUAGCAUCUUCACAGAGGCCUGCGAAAGGUCCUGGGUUCAAUUCCCAGCAAGUCCA